GUCUCAGAGGUCUGAUUCACUCGGUUGCGUUUCAUUGGUUGAUUGGAAGAACGAGCUUUUCGAACCUCUCAGUAUAUCAGCCAAGGUAAGCAGGAAGAACCUGUGCAGCAACUUUACCUAACUCCUGCUGUGAUGUCCACUCUACGGCGGAGUACUCAUAGUAGGGACUUUCCGUGCUGCAUCUAUGGCACUUCUCUUCUCCAGGAGCCAGGAGGUUGGGGGGAAGCCUCCCACAUUCUCAUCAGGGGUCCUAAUUAUGGCGGCAAAACUGCACUUUUCUGGAAUUCUGUAAUUGUAAUCUCAUGUCUUGGAUGUAGAAGAACAGGAGUCCAAUAAAGUGACUCACUUCUGGAGGGAAAAGAAGAGCGGUGCGAUGACCAGCAGCACCAGCAGCAGGACCACGGCGCUGACCAGCCCCGACACCUGCGUCUGGCAACCCGUGGACUCCUUGACCAGCGUUUUGGUCAGGGCGGCGCUGGUGGUGAAGCAGCGGAAGAACGACGGCAGGAUGUUGCAGAAGCCGAUGGCGUACAUCUCCUGGUUGGCAUCCACUCGGUAGCCGUGCUUCUUGGCGAACAUCUCGGACAGCGACACCGUGAUGGCGAAUCCCACCAGCGCGACGGAGAAGGCGUCCACCGCCACGUUGGGGAUGAGGGACCAUGAGGGGAGCUGCGGCGGGAGGAAGCCCGUGGGGAUCUCCCCGGCCACGUCGGAACCGUAGUCGGUGUUGAAGUGGCCAAAAUGAGACGCCAGCGUCGCGAUGAUGACAACAAAGAGCUCGAAGGGAAUUGGAGCCUGGGAAACACAAAAGAAACAGUAAGUUAAGAUCUUUACUGUUUGUGUGUUGGGUACUUGUACUUCCCGGUUGAUGGAAAAAGACGCUCACAAUGGAUGGGCUGUGCCAUCAUAUUCAUACCAAACGGUUAAAAGUCACCAUAACCCCCAAAAUGUAUUCCUCAGCCUUCUAGCAGUUGCUUCCAGAUCCAAAUGUUCCCGGUUUGAGAUCAGUUGUGGAGUGACAAACCUGUACAAGGACUUGUUUUUACCUUCAACUUGGCCUUGAAGCGGUAGUUGAGCUCCUUGGCGGGUACCAGCACGAGUAGACACACCAGGCUGGUCAGCAGGUCACACAGGUUGGUCUGGCCCAGGCUGGCAAGCACACUGAACCAGGUCUUGAACAGCGUGAACCAGCCCUGCGCCCUGCGGAUCUUCAGUCCUAGGAGGUACUUGACCUGCGAGGUGAGGAUGGUCAGGGAGGCUCCGGUGGCAAAGCCGCUCAGGAGGGAGUCGGAGAGGUAGACAGAUACGAAGCCCACCUGGAAAAUACCCAUCAGCACCUGAGAGAGAGAGAGAGAGAGAGAGAGAGAAUAAGAGGUAAACAGGAAGUGAUGGUUGACAAAGAUGUAAAGUGGACUCAGCAGGUGUAGAAGCGCUCGUACCUGAUAGACACCUGCGGUGAACGUGACCGUCGCCCCCACAGCUAUUGCGUAGCAGCUCUUGUCACACUCCACCACCGCGCUGUUGUUCCCUUGGGCUGCCAGGAGGGCGGCGCUGUUGUUACUGCUCAGGCCCUCGCUGAGGUAUCCCGCCACUGCCAGCUCCCUGUCCACCACCUGACCCACAAGCAGGCAAAGCACCCCAAAAAUGCCCACGGAGAUGUGUCUGGAGGUGCCUAGCAGGGUGUAGAUGAUGGAGGAGAAGAAGGACGUGUAGAGCCCGUAGAUGGGGUCCUGACCAGCCAAUAGGGAGUAGGCGAUGGACUGGGGGACCAAUAAGAUUCCCACAAUGAGUCCAGACAUGACGUCGCCCAGGAUCCAGUCUCUCAGCUGGUACUGUGGCAGCCAUUUUAAGAUGGGAACAAAGCCCAGGAUCUUGGCCUUGACCUUCUGCGGAGAGCACGAGCAGUGCUUCUUCAGUCGGCGUGACACCACGGUCUGACAGCUUUGAGGCGCUCCUUUCUCCACUCUUUCCAGGACGAGCGGCUGGUGCUGCCCGCCCUCGGCGUUGCUCUCUGGUGCUGUGGUGCAGCAGUCAUCUCUAUGAGGCAUCAUCCAGCUCGUCUCUGCGGUCCACAAAGGUGGUUAACUACUCUUUACACGUGUGUCUGUUAAGAAUACAACUUAUAACAUUCCCUGUACACUUAAUAAGCGUUUUAUGAUACCCACAGUUUGACCCUGGAACAGAUGGUUUCUAUUUACAUGAUUUCCUGUGGGAUUGUAAAUAUGUUUACCCUAUAUAAGACUUACCUAGAUAAGAAUGCUGUGUAGCUAUUUUAACUCACAUACUACACAGGUAAUGAACACAACUACCGAGGACUUCUGUUUUCAAUGUAAAUUAAUCAUCAAAGUAAAUAAACAAAUGUGUAAUAAUAU